rnacentral:lncRNA from 1 species
CCAGAUCUCAUGGAGAGACAAGCAAAGGGGAGUGGGUGGCAUGUUUUGCAGAAGGGUGAAUCUCAAACUACACAGGGAAUGAAAGAAUGCUGGACACUGGAGAGAGGGGUGGAAGAGUGGCUCUACAUUUACUGAGUUCUGUGACCUAAGACAAGUCACAGGUUUUUUGUUUGUUUGUUUAUUUUUGAGAUGGAGUCUCAUCCUUUCACCCAAGCUGGAGUGCAGUGGCAUGAUCUCGGCUCACUGCAACCUCUGUCUCCUGGAUUCAAGUGAUUCUCCUGCCUCAGCCUCCCCAGUAGCUGGGACUACAGGGACUAUUUUGGCGUGUCCCACACACAGCAUCAAGGGAGGGGGGUACAAGAAGAAGCAGAGUGAGACCAGAGUGGAGUGGGAGCCAAAACAGGUGGGCGUCUGUGCAGAAAGCAACAUGGAUGCAGCUGGAGGCCAUUAUCUUAAGUGAAUUAACGAAGGAACGGAAAACCAAGAAAGGCAUGUUCUCACUUAUAAGUGGGAGCUAAGCAUUGAGUACUCAAGGACAUAAAGAUGGCAAAAGUACACCCUGGGGACUACUAGAGAGGGGAGGGAGUGAGGGGGGCAAGGGUUGAAAAACUAAUUGUUGGGCACUACACUCACCACCUGGGUAAUGGGAUCAUUUGUAUCUCAAACCUCUGCAUCACGAAAUAUACCCAUGUAGCAAACCUGUGCAUGUACUCCCUGAAUCUAAAAUAAAAGCUGAAAUUAUAAAAUAAAAAUAGAACAAUCGAUAAAAAAAGAAAAAAC